rnacentral:rRNA from 1 species
GACGAACGCUGGCGGCGUGCUUAACACAUGCAAGUCGAACGGAAAGGCCCUGCUUUUGUGGGGUGCUCGAGUGGCGAACGGGUGAGUAACACGUGAGUAACCUGCCCUUGACUUUGGGAUAACUUCAGGAAACUGGGGCUAAUACCGGAUAGGAGCUCCUGCUGCAUGGUGGGGGUUGGAAAGUUUCGGCGGUUGGGGAUGGACUCGCGGCUUAUCAGCUUGUUGGUGGGGUAGUGGCUUACCAAGGCUUUGACGGGUAGCCGGCCUGAGAGGGUGACCGGCCACAUUGGGACUGAGAUACGGCCCAGACUCCUACGGGAGGCAGCAGUGGGGAAUAUUGCACAAUGGGCGGAAGCCUGAUGCAGCAACGCCGCGUGCGGGAUGACGGCCUUCGGGUUGCAAACCGCUUUCGCCUGCGACGAAGCGUGAGUGACGGUAAUGGGUAAAGAAGCACCGGCUAACUACGU